rnacentral:rRNA from 1 species
GUUAGACGGGACCGCACAAGCGGUGGAUGAUGUGGAUUAAUUCGAUGCAACGACGAAAACCUUACCUACCUUGACAUGUCCGGAAUCCCGAAGAGAUUUGGGAGUGCUCGCAAGAGAGCCGGAACACAGGUGCUGCAUGGCUGUCGUCAGCUCGUGUCGUGAGAUGUUGGGUUAAGUCCCGCAACGAGCGCAACCCUUGUCAUUAGUUGCCAUCAUUUGGUUGGGCACUCUAAUGAGACUGCCGGUGACAAACCGGAGGAAGGUGGGGAUGACGUCAAGUCCUCAUGGCCCUUAUGGGUAGGGCUUCACACGUCAUACAAUGGUCGGUACAGAGGGUUGCCAACCCGCGAGGGGGAGCUAAUCCCACAAAGCCGAUCGUAGUCCGGAUCGCAGUCUGCAACUCGACUGCGUGAAGUCGGAAUCGCUAGUAAUCGUGGAUCAGCAUGUCACGGUGAAUACGUUCCCGGGUCUU